UUACGACCAUAUCACUUUGAAACACCGGUUCUCGUACGAUCACCGACGUUAAGCAACAUUGAGCUUGGUCAGUACCUAGAUGGGUGAUCGCUUGU